ACUUGAUUUGGAGCCUGCCUGAAAUUGAUUUUUCAGAAGCUGAAAAAGCUGGAGUGCAAUGGCACCAUCUCAGCUCACUGAGACCUCCACCUCCCAUGUUCAAGUGAUUCUCCUGCCUCAGCCUCCCGAGUAGCUGGGAUUACAGGCAUGCGCCACCAUGCCCCACUAAUUCUGUAUUUUUAGUAGAGAUGGGGUUUCUCCAUGUUGGUCAGGCUGGUCUUGAACUCCUGACCUCAGGUGAUCCGCCCCCCCUGACCUCCCAAAGUGCUGGGAUUACAGGCGUGAGCCACCAUGCUCGGAUAAUUUUGUAUUUGUAGUAGAGAUGGGGUUUCACUAUGUUGGUCAGGCCGGUCUUGAACUCCUGACCUCAAGUGAUCCACCCACCUCAGCCUCUCAAAAGUGCUGGGAUUACAGGCGUGAGCCACCACGCCCAGCCCACUUUCUUUAACUUUAAUAGAAUGAAAAUACAAAUCAAACCAAUCCAAUUUCUUGAGAAUAAAUUUUGAACUUGUAACACCAUUUCAAUAUAAAAAUGGCACUUUGUUGCCUUUA
rnacentral:lncRNA from 1 species